rnacentral:misc_RNA from 1 species
GGGUUACUGGCGGUAAAAUUCGGGUGUUUAAUUCAUGUUUGGUUGCGCGAGAAGAUUCAUUAUGUUUUAUUCUCUUGCAAAUAUUAAUCUUGGAUGGAGAAAGUCUACACUUUGCCCUGUACCUAAACUACCUCUUGUUAGUGUAUUGAAAAAUCUGAAAUGUUCCCGGUUGGAUGUUUAUGGCCAAGAUUCUCAGAUUGCUGCUGUUCCUCCAUUGGCCUGUAAUUUCAGUAAAGUAAAAGCCACCCCUAACAUUCUUGGUCUUUCGGAUGAAAACGGUUGUGUUAUUUUGUUUGACACAAAUAAACAUGGUGAACAAGCUGUCUUAAAGUAUUGGUCAGCUCACAGUAAUGCCAUCUUUGAUUUGGCUUGGAUGGAAAAUGAACACAAACUGCUUACUGCUUCUGGUGACCAGACUAUCGUCUUAUGGGAUGCUCUCAGCCAGCAGAGAAUACAGACAUUUAAAGGACACAGUCGCAGUGUUAAAUCUGUGUGUUUCAGUCCAUCAAGCAAUUUUGUUUUCUGUUCUGGUUCAAGAGAUGGUCAAAUUCUAAUCUACGACACAAGAGUCAACUCCAGAGAUGGCUACAUGAGAAGUGUGAGUACCAUAAAGAAUGCACAUUCCACUGGACCUGCAAUGCACUUGAAAAGGAACUACAGGAAUAAAAACAAUGAUAACCGAGAAAAAAGUGUUACUGCUGUCCUCUACCAGACGGACAAUCUCCUGGCCUCAGCUGGAGCUAUUAAUAGCACUGUUAAGAUUUGGGACUUGCGAAAGUGCAGCAGUCAAAAUCAAGACCCGGUACCUGCAUAUAUGUUUAUGUGCAGCAAAAAUGCAAUGAGAAACUUUGGGAUCACCAGCCUUGCAUUUGAUCCCAGUCUUAGUCGUUUGUUUGCAACAUGUAAAGAUCACUCAGUCUACCUCUACAAUUCUGCUACAUAUGCUCGUGAACCCAUCCGCACAUACAGAGGAUACCAAAAUACUUCAUUUUACAUCAAAGCUGCUGUAAGUCCAUGUGGCAGGUUCUUUGUUAGUGGAUCAAAUGAUGAUAAUGCCUAUAUAUGGGAGGUCGAGGGUUCUGAAUAUCCAUGCAUCACUCUUGCUGGUCAUACUGCAGAAGUGACAGCCGUUGCCUGGUCCCAACAUGAUUUUGGCAAGAUUGCUACUCUUUCCGAUGAUAACACAAUGAGGAUGUGGCGUUUGAAUUGUCGGUCUCUUCCUGCAGACAUUCUGGAUACGAGUGGAUCAGCAAUGGAGUAUAUUCAUGAAAUUGCUCCAUCGUCACCAUCAGUCUCUGGUUGUGAAAGUAGCCAAAGUUUGACUCCAUAUAGUGACAGUACACCACCUUUUGUUGGUUUAAAAGUAAGAACUACACCAGUUAGUUCACCAUCCACCUUGUCCAUUAAAGACUGGCUGAAAAAGCCUGUCAGUGAUUGGACUUCGGUGAAUUCUCCGGAAAAUAGCCAGAUUGAAAUGUGUAACUUGAUAGAUGAAGAGCAGGACAACCAUCUGAUAGAAAAUUCUUCUCCAUGUAGCAGUCAACUUGAGAAAAGAAAAAAUACUGCUAAGCGGAAACUGGAGAGUUCCUAUACUGCUCCUACGUGUCAAAGUCCAACUAAACAAAGAAACAUUCUCCGCACGCCCAACUGGGAAAAUCCUAAUCAGCAAGAAAAUUUUAACAGAUCGAAUCUCGUGUUAAAAUCUCCCGAGAAAAGUUCCUCAUCUAGUAAAUGUCUGUUCCCAGCCAGCAAACAAAUCAAAGAUCAGUUGGUAGAUAUGGAAAAUACCCCAACAAAUACAGAAAUUUCCUUUUGUGAAAGAACUCGAUCAGAGAAAGAUUCCAGUGAUUCUAAACCUUUAACCAGUUCUCCUGGUUAUUCAGUUUUUGAUGUUCUCAGAUCUUCAGGCCAUUCACCAUUACAUUCUCAUUCUAGUAAAAGAACACCAAAAUCAGCCAGAAGUAACCGGAAGCCUUUACAAAAAGGAUCUCCAGAGAGUCGCAACCAAUCCAUAUUGACCUUUAUCAAUCGAAACACACCCCACAACUGACAGGAUUAUGGAAGGAAGAUAAAAACUACAUUUUAUUACUCUCAAAACCAAACUGACUUUUCUUUACCAACCUAACGUGAGGUUUACUAAAGGAAUUUCACUACCUGAAAUAUGGGUUUGACCUUGUUUCAAAGGUCACUUUAAAUCUUUAUCAUAUUUUUUCCAUUAUUGUUCAUCCUGAACCAAGCAAUGUUUGUGGCCUCAAUCUCUUAAUAUAUGAAUAGGGCAUAUUUUUCAGGUGUACAGUUUUACUGAAAGUUAACCAGGAGAAUUUUUUAUUUAUUUUAUUUUGGCUGACUUUAUAUGUCUUGGUGCAGACUGUUGAACUGUGCAUUUGAUAUUGCCUAUCGGUGCAUUGUUGUGUCGCAAUAAACAUUGCACAAUAUAUAUAUGAUCUCAAGUUGUGCCUACUUAAACAUGAACCCAUUAAUGACCUUAGGGUUUUCCAGAUUACUCUUAGAUUUGUCUCUCAAAAUUCUUGUUAUAUCAUCACUCAUAACAGAAAUCUCAGGAUUUAUUUACAAUUCUUUUUUUAAAUGAAAUACUCCAACUCAAAAUGUAAUCUUUUAUUUUUGUGGAAAUGUUGCAGAUGGUAGGUACAGAAACAGAAUGUUAAGGUACCACAUGGUUUCGAGUUUUGUUCCAUUGCAUGACACUUUUGGGCAAGUGUCUUCCACUAUAGCUCUGGGCCAACUGAAACCUUGUGAGUGGAUUUGGUAGACAGAAACUGUAAACACCCAUUGUAUGUAUGUGAGUUAUUGUCUCCUUGCUUUUACAUCCUGUGAUAAUUUGUGAGUGUCAUCAUCAUGCAAGCUGUGUCCUUCGUUUCUGAUCUUCCAAGACAUAUCCAGUCAUGGGGAAAUAUUACCUUACUUGGAAACAGGUGAGGGUUGGGGACAGGAAGGGCAUCUAACCAUCAAAAAUCUCAACAAAUUCUGUUUCAUUCAUUUGUGCAGGGAAAAGUGAACAUUAAAUGAUGAUGAUGGUGAUGGUGUUGAUAUUACCAUUCAUCCACAGAAGAGUGAUAAAAUAAAUACCAUCUCUACACUUGGUGGCUAAGAUGAUAGUUGUAAUUGGAUGCCUUUAUAGUAUGUGUUUUUAAUUUUAAGCCCUGUUGGAUUCAUUCUUUCUUUGUGUGAAACAAAAGCAUCCUAAGAUGCUUUUUAAAAAAUUUUUUAUUGUUCUAAUUUAGAAAAAAGAUCAACAUUCCAGUUUUGCUUCCAAAUCUCUUACACUUUUCCAUCCAAGUUGUAGUAACCAAGAAUCUUUGUCUUCCCAAAUUAUGACCAUAUGCCUUUUCUCAUUCGUAUUUCUUCAUUCUGUAGGGAGUAAGUUAUUUUGGAUCACAUCAAGCUGUGUGUGUGUGACUUCUUCAUUAUCUCUAUGGUAUUUGCUUUUAAUUGUGUUUGUCUAGCUCUGGAUAGCAUUACUCAAAUAGAACUACAUGGCAGAGCUAACUGAAUGUGGAUCAGAAACAGUUAAAGGCCCUCUGUCUUCAACAUUGAGAUACACAUUAUCCACCUAUGCUGGUUUUAGAUUGAGCUUGUUCAGAUGUGGCCUCCUUUUUUUUUAAUGUGAGGCAUGUUAUUCUUAGAUUUUGGUCUUGAAACAUCCAGUGUUUCUUGAAGAUUUGGCUGUUAUAUAUAAUCAUGUUCAGGAAAUGUAGAAACUUUCUAUGUUUAUACACCACCAUCAUUAGCAGCCCAUGGGUUGGGCAAAACUUGUCACAUCUCUGUAUGAAAUAUAAAUUUUGCAAUAGUUUGGGGUAUCACAGCUCUCUUACAUCAUGUGUACCUAACUUGAAAACUUGCUCCCUAAGUCAGUAACUUUCUUUAAGAUAAUCAAAAUUGAGCAUAGAAUUUCUAGAAAGAAAAGAAAAUCAAAGGUAAUCAUAUAUGCUGUUAGUCCUAUUAUAACAUGUGGAUUAUAUUAAUUGUUCGUAGGGCACUGUAUUUUGCCAUGCUACUAUAAUAUACUACUAAGUAUGUUAGAGGCUUUUAAGUCAAUACUGUAUUUUAAAGUUCCCUGCAGAUUUUCUAUCAAAGCCAGGGCCAUGAAACAUCAUAACUUCCAGUGCUGGCUCUAGUUUCUAUAGAAAAUCUGUGGGGGUAACUUUAAAAAGUGAUGAGGAUUAUAGUAUAUUGAAUAUAUGUAGAAAAUAUGGUGUUUCACAGCAUCAUUCAGUUUGUCUCCAUUGAAGAGAUACUUCAAAUGGAAGCAUAGAAUCUCUUCUGUUUCAAACCUAGUGCAAUAAUUUACAUUACCAGAGAUUCAUACUUGAAAAUUUUUAAGGCUGAGAAGAAAAGUCAUUUCAAUAUUUCUUGGUAACUGUUUCAACUCUGUUCGACCAGUGGUAUGUAUUGGAUCAAACUUUUAGAUACGCUUAUAUUUGAAUAUCAAAUAAAUUCACUUUUUUUUUUUUUCCCCCCCAUACUUGGCAUUCAGUCAUCAUAGUUAAAAUUUAUUUGAAUUUCAAAAAUGAUAAAUAAUAGUGGUAAAGGAGGAAUAGAAUUAUGGAAAACCAUAAAACAUUACAAUAAGAAUUUUAAUGUUCAAAUAACAUUGGGAAGGAAUGGAUCAAAAUAAAUGGGGGAAGAAAAAUGAAUGUAUUUAUCUGACAACCCAAUAUAUGGGUAUAUAUAUAUGUACGUAUAUAUAUAU